UGGGGAAUAUUGGACAAUGGGCGCAAGCCUGAUCCAGCCAUGCCGCGUGAGUGAUGAAGGCCUUAGGGUUGUAAAGCUCUUUCUCCGGUGAAGAUAAUGACGGUAACCGGAGAAGAAGCCCCGGCUAACUUCGUGCCAGCAGCCGCGGUAAUACGAAGGGGGCUAGCGUUGCUCGGAAUCACUGGGCGUAAAGCGCACGUAGGCGGAUCGUUAAGUCAGGGGUGAAAUCCUGGAGCUCAACUCCAGAACUGCCCUUGAUACUGGCGAUCUCGAGUUCGAGAGAGGUUGGUGGAACUCCGAGUGUAGAGGUGAAAUUCGUAGAUAUUCGGAAGAACACCAGUGGCGAAGGCGGCCAACUGGCUCGAUACUGACGCUGAGGUGCGAAAGCGUGGGGAGCAAAACAGGAUUAGAUACCCUGGUAGUCCACGCCGUAAAACGAUGGAUGCUAGCCGUUGGGGGGUUUGACCUCUCAGUGGCGCAGCUAACGCCUUAAGCAUCCCGCCUGGGGAGUACGGUCGCAAGAUUAAAAACUCAAAAUGAAUUGACGGGGUCAUAGCUG
rnacentral:rRNA from 1 species